AUUCAGGUGAUCCGUCCGCCUCGGCCUCCCAAAGUGCCGGGAUUACAGGCGUGAGCCACUGCAGCCAGCCUUGGAAGAAAUUUAAAUGCAUGUUACUAAGCAAGAGAAGCCAACCAAAAAUGCUACAUACUGUAUUACUUCAAAUAUGUGGCAUUCUGGAAAAGGCAAAACUUUUUGGAGACAGAAAAAGGAUCAGCGGUUGCCAGGGUUUAGAGGGAGGGCAGGAUGCAUAGGUGGCACACUGAGGAUAUUUAGGGCAGUGAAACUGUUCUGCAUGACACGGUAAUGGUGGAUGCAUUCCAUUAUACAUUUGUCAAGACCUAUAGAAGGUCUACCACCAAGAGUAAGCCCUACGUAGACUAUGGACUUUGGGUGAUAAUGACCUGUCAAUGUAGGAUUAGCAAUAGUAACAAAUGCACUGCUUUGGUGAAGGACACUGAUAAUGGAGGAGGCUGUGCACAUGUGGGAACAGGGUAUAUAUGUGGGGAAUCUCUGUAUCUUCCACUCAAUAUUGUUAUGAGUCUAAAACUGCUCUAAGAAACAGUCUAUUCUUUAAGAAAUAGGAGAAAAGAGGAGAAGAAAGAGGGGGCGGGGGAAACAGGGAGAUCUGUAGGCUCCUGCGGAAGGUCAUUGCAAAAUACUGGUGAUUCCAGGGAAGGUUGGAACAGCCUCUUUCUGAGAAAAAAUGAGUGUGGCAGAUGUCAGCAGAUACAAUCAUCCUCUGCCGCCUGCUGCUCUUCCUUUAUUCUUGGGUCUCUGAGCUUCUCUUUCUUGUCUGAACCCCUUUGCACACAAGGAUUAGCCAAUCAGAAUGCUUUCUCCCACUGGCAACAGUGAAGACUCCAUCCUGGAGAAUCAGAACCUUCUCUAGGAUUUUUGUUGAACUUUCAACUGUUGGUUGAAAUGGUUGCCGUGGAGAUGGUCUCAGCCUAGAGCGGCUGCUGUUCAGCUUUGGCCCCUGAAGGGAGAACACAUCUGAGGAUGAAGAAUGGUUGAGGCAUUUGUUCCUCUGGUUUUCUCUCUGCUCCAGUGCAGUAGGUUGGCCUUGCCCUUCUUCUGAAGCCCCCGUUUCCAUCGGGUGGCUGGUUUCAUGCAGCUGUGGCUCCUCACAGAUUCCCUCUCUCAGUUGCCAUAACUGCUACCCUCCUUGCUCCUACAGGCACUGGGGCAGAAGUGGUUCCUCCAUUAUUAGCAGCCCAGGGUUCUUUCAACCUGCCUACAUCUGGAAAAUACCUCCUUAUCAAACUCUUCAUCACCAGUGUCAGUUCAUGGUCAGUUUCUUUCCUGAGCCCUGACCCACACCCAGGGAAAGGCCAACCUUCCGUGGCCAAGAUGAAGCCUCUUCCACUGUCAGCUGGGCACUUCUAGGGGCUGUGAGCGCUGAAGAAUGGAGAGAUUCAGGCCAUGUGUGUGGCUCUACCUCCUGAGAAACAGGCGUUAUCAGGCCUGGGCUUUGCUCACAGCACCUGCCGGCUCCUGGGAAGAAGCCACAUCUGCCUCGAACUGCCCUGACUGCCUUUGUUACGAUACCUACCCGUGGCUUGCUUGUGCCAACUCUGAAAACACAGGGCUGCCUGAGGGAGCUCUCGUGUUAGCAAGCAGCAGCUCGUGGGUCACAAGAGGCCCAUUUCAGAAUGGGUUCUGUCCCACACUCUGGAGGAAGGAAUGCUGUAUGAGGAGGCCUAGAAGAAUCUGAACAGACAGGCUUUACUGGAGUUCCCCACUCGGCCCGUUAGUAUUAGACCAGAUCUUUUUGUCCAGUCACAUUUCUACGUGGUUGCCUAUCAAAGAAGUCUCUAUAAAAAGUCCAAGAGAACAGGGUUUGGGGAGCUUCCAGGAGGCAGGAAGGUGAACAAGAAUUCAUCCACAUGCCAGACAGCUGGUGCAUCCCAAAUCCAUGGAGACAGAAGCUCCUGCACUCAGACCCUUCCAGACCUCACCCUACAUGUUUCUUCAUCUGGCUGUGUAUUUGUAUCCUUUGAAAUAUCCUUUGUAAUAAACUGUUAAACAUAA
rnacentral:lncRNA from 1 species